rnacentral:rRNA from 1 species
UACGAAGGGGGCUAGCGUUGUUCGGAAUCACUGGGCGUAAAGGGCGCGUAGGCGGCUUUAUAAGUCGGGGGUGAAAGCCUGUGGCUCAACCACGGAAUUGCCUUCGAUACUGUAGAGCUUGAGACCGGAAGAGGUUAGUGGAACUGCGAGUGUAGAGGUGAAAUUCGUAGAUAUUCGCAAGAACACCAGUGGCGAAGGCGGCUGACUGGUCCGGAUCUGACGCUGAGGCGCGAAAGCGUGGGGAGCAAACAGG